CCAGCAGCGGCUUGAGGGCCGCGCCCUUCAGGGCUGGCUUCGCCGGCGGUGACACCGGCGCGGGGGGAGAUGCCGGCGCCGCGGCGACGGGCGGGAGGAGGCGGCGAGCCGUGGACGGGGUCAGGGGCUUGGGGAGGGAGUAGGAGUGGGAGUGGGAGAGGGAGAGGGAGGUGGGCUUAGAGGAGGGUGAGGAGGUGGAGCGGCGGCGGAGGGAGAAUGAGAGGAGGUGGGGGCGGUGGCGGAUGCCGAGGUGGUGGCAGGUGAGCGGCGAGGCCGCCGACGCGGAGGAGGCCAUGGCGUCGACGGCGGCGGCGGGGAGGGAAGGGGGGAGAAUGGAGGAGAUGGAAAGGGGGGUUGGGUUUAAU
rnacentral:lncRNA from 1 species